UCUCUCCAUCUCGCAUAGAGAUACUCUCCAGGGACCUCUGUAGGUACCCUGCACCGGGAAGACAUAACAUCUUCGUGAUAUGCAUUCCUAGGGAAGGCCCCGCGGGCUCGGGGACCUGGAAAUGGCUGGUGGAGCCUCCUGGCCUUUGAUUCUGACGCUCAGACUAUAAUGGUGUAGAAACACUUAGACCAAGCUAAGAUUGAGUGUAACGAUGAAGAUAAUAUUAACAACAGUGAGAUGACAGCAACAAGGCAUCAAAAGGACACCAGGAGACAGGGGAAAACUUUCACUACCCUACAGAAGAUGACAGACAGACGACAACAGCAGAACAGAACAGCUUCUGGAUAACUGUUCUUGUUAACUGAAGUACGUCAACCCAGAAUAUGGCCGUCGUGCUUAGAAGCUCACCCCGAGAAAGGAUCGGGCCUACUCUGAGAUCCCAAACAACCAGUGUAGUCACUGACCGGCUCAUAGCGGCUUCCCAGUGGCUUGAACUCAUUUCUGAGCAGUCUUCUCUGGUGGGUAUCCACAGCAAAGCUAAGGUUCCAUAUCACCAGGCUGGAACAAAGCUAUCGAGCUGACCUGAGACAUUUCUCAAAGGGCCAGUUUAACUGACCUGAUAAUGAAGUUGACCCUGCCUUAACUCUUCCACAGAAGGCUGACCUGGCCAGCUCUCAAACCACCAUGGUUGAGCUAUUGUUCAGUUUCCCUGAUCUGGUCACACCCAGAGUCACCCUUUGUUUUGGCUUCUGCUCAAGCCACUGGAACGCCGCACUCCAUUUUAUGAACUGAAGUGCUGCUCGAUCCUAGAAUUAUAGACUAAAGCCAAUCAAGGCAUCCGCUGUUCCUGUAAUCUCAGAGCUAGAGGCUGAGACAGGAAGAUCAGAAGUUCAAGGCCUG